GCCAGACUCCUACGGGAGGCAGCAGCGGGGAAUAUUGCACAAUGGGGGAAACCCUGAUGCAGCGACGCCGCGUGAGUGAAGAAGUAUUUCGGUAUGUAAAGCUCUAUCAGCAGGAACGAGACAAGACGGUACCUGACUAAGAAGCCCCGGCUAACUACGUGCCAGCAGCCGCGGUAAUACGUAGGGGGCAAACGUUAUCCGGAAUCACUGGGUGUAAAGGGAGCGUAGACGGCUGUGCAAGCCUGAAGUGAAAGGCGGGGGCCCAACCCCUGGACUGCUUUGGGAACUGUACGGCUGGAGUGCAGGAGAGGUAAGUGGAAUUCCUAGUGUAGCGGUGAAAUGCGUAGAUAUUAGGAGGAACACCAGUGGCGAAGGCGGCUUACUGGACUGUAACUGACGUUGAGGCUCGAAAGCGUGGGGAGCAAACAGGAUUAGAUACCCGUGUA
rnacentral:rRNA from 1 species